rnacentral:rRNA from 1 species
AGGAAUAUUGGUCAAUGGGCGAGAGCCUGAACCAGCCAAGUAGCGUGCAGGAUGACGGCCCUAUGGGUUGUAAACUGCUUUUAUAAGGGAAUAAAGUGAGAGUCGUGACUCUUUUUGCAUGUACCUUAUGAAUAAGGACCGGCUAAUUCCGUGCCAGCAGCCGCGGUAAUACGGAAGGUCCGGGCGUUAUCCGGAUUUAUUGGGUUUAAAGGGAGCGUAGGCCGGAGAUUAAGCGUGUUGUGAAAUGUAGACGCUCAACGUCUGCACUGCAGCGCGAACUGGUUUCCUUGAGUACGCACAAAGUGGGCGGAAUUCGUGGUGUAGCGGUGAAAUGCUUAGAUAUCACGAAGAACUCCGAUUGCGAAGGCAGCUCACUGGAGCGCAACUGACGCUGAAGCUCGAAAGUGCGGGUAUCGAACAGGAUUAGAUACCCUGGUAGUCCGCACGGUAAACGAUGGAUGCCCGCUGUUGGUCUGAAUAGGUCAGCGGCCAAGCGAAAGCAUUAAGCAUCCCACCUGGGGAGUACGCCGGCAACGGUGAAACUCAAAGGAAUUGACGGGGGCCCGCACAAGCGGAGGAACAUGUGGUUUAAUUCGAUGAUACGCGAGGAACCUUACCCGGGCUUGAAUUGCAGAGGAAGGAUUUGGAGACAAUGACGCCCUUCGGGGCCUCUGUGAAGGUGCUGCAUGGUUGUCGUCAGCUCGUGCCGUGAGGUGUCGGCUUAAGUGCCAUAACGAGCGCAACCCCUCUCCUUAGUUGCCAUCAGGUCAUGCUGGGCACUCUGGGGACACUGCCACCGUAAGGUGUGAGGAAGGUGGGGAUGACGUCAAAUCAGCACGGCCCUUACGUCCGGGGCUACACACGUGUUACAAUGGCAGGUACAGAGAGACGGUCCCUUGCAAAAGGGAUCAAAUCCUUAAAGCCUGUCUCAGUUCGGACUGGGGUCUGCAACCCGACCCCACGAAGCUGGAUUCACUAGUAAUCGCGCAUCAGCCAUGGCGCGGUGAAUACGUUCCCG